UAUAUGGAAAAAAGGUUUUGAUAAUGUACAAGCUUACUAGAAGAGUAACACUUAUAAACACUCCUGAACACACGUGUUGUGUGUGUUUGCAGUGUG